rnacentral:rRNA from 1 species
AGAGUUUGAUCCUGGCUCAGAAUGAACGCUGGCGGCGUGCUUAACACAUGCAAGUCGUACGAGAACGCUUCAGCUUGCUGAAGCUAGUAAAGUGGCGCUCGGGUGAGUAACGCGUGGGUAAUCUACCUUCGAAUUGGGGAUAACGUUGCGAAAGUGACGCUAAUACCGAAUAAUAUCAUAAGGACUUUGGUUCUUUUGAUCAAAGAUGGCCUCUCCUUGGAAGCUAUUGUUUGAAGAUGAGCCCGCGUCCCAUUAGCUUGUUGGUGGGGUAAUGGCCUACCAAGGCAGCGAUGGGUAGCUGGUCUGAGAGGAUGAUCAGCCACACUGGAACUGACACACGGUCCAGACUCCUACGGGAGGCAGCAGUGAGGAAUUUUGCGCAAUGGGGGAAACCCUGACGCAGCAACGCCGCGUGAGUGAUGAAGGCUUUCGGGUCGUAAAGCUCUGUCAAGUGGGAAGAACUUUCAUGGGGUUAAUAUCCUCAUGUUUUGACGGUACCACUGAAGGAAGCACCGGCUAACUCCGUGCCAGCAGCCGCGGUAAUACGGGGGGUGCAAGCGUUAUUCGGAUUUACUGGGCGUAAAGCGCGCGUAGGCGGCCGUUUAAGUCAGAUGUGAAAGCCCGGGGCUCAACCCCGGAAGUGCAUUUGAUACUAUUCGGCUUGAGUAUGGGAGAGGGAAGUGGAAUUCCUGGUGUAGAGGUGAAAUUCGUAGAUAUCAGGAGGAACACCGGUGGCGAAGGCGACUUCCUGGACCAAUACUGACGCUGAGGCGCGAAGGCGUGGGGAGCAAACAGGAUUAGAUACCCUGGUAGUCCACGCAGUAAACGGUGAUCACUAGGUGUAGCGGGUAUUGACCCCUGCUGUGCCGCAGCUAACGCAUUAAGUGAUCCGCCUGGGGAGUACGGCCGCAAGGUUAAAACUCAAAGGAAUUGACGGGGGCCCGCACAAGCGGUGGAGCAUGUGGUUUAAUUCGACGCAACGCGAAGAACCUUACCUGGAUUUGACAUCUCGGGGAUUUCUAUGAAAGUAGGAAGUGCCCUUCGGGGAGCCCGAUGACAGGUGCUGCAUGGCUGUCGUCAGCUCGUGUCGUGACAUGUUGGGUUAAGUCCCGCAACGAGCGCAGCCCCUAUCUUUAGUUACCAGCACCUCGGGUGGGGACUCUGAAGAUACUGCCCCGGCCAACGGGGAGGAAGGUGGGGAUGACGUCAAGUCCUCAUGGCCUUUAUGUCCAGGGCUACAC